GGGCACAGUGGCUUAGUUGUUAGUACAUAUGCCUCACAAACAUUGGGGUUGGGGGUUCGAUCCCCCCUGUGUUCA